rnacentral:lncRNA from 1 species
AUUGGUCUUACUCGUUUCAGUGAUUGCUUUGUACAAUUUGAUUCAAGUCGCAGUCUUUGUACAAUUUUAUCCAAGUCCUAGAUUUUGUAAGAUUUGAUCAAAUGUAUUUUGGAUUAAUGAUAGGAACAAAGUGUACGAAUCUUUGUUUUUCGGCUGAGAGUUACAGUUUGUGCUUGACAAUUGAAAAGGUGGAAUUGGUACAUUAGUAUUUGUG